GCCUGACUUACCUCUGCUAAAGGCAGUCGGGAGAGUAUGAGACUCUUAAUCUCAGGGUUGCGGGUUCGAGUCCCACGCUGGGCA